GGGGAUUUAGCUCAGUGGUAGAGAGCUUGCCUAGCAAGCUCAAGGCCCUGGGUUCAAUCCCCAGCUCCG
rfam:Rattus norvegicus chromosome 20, whole genome shotgun sequence.